CAGCCUUAGGUACCUGUGCUGGAGGGGCUGCUUCUAAUCUGCUGUCAGGAGGCCCCUGGCCGCCUCCUUCUGGUGACUCGGUGGCAUAAUUAAUGACUUUGGCACUUCCCACCAGACCUGGGGCUCUGAUGCUUUCUGACCUGGGGCGGCCCCUGUCAUCUGAUAGGCUCAGAGGGGGAGAUGCUCACCUGCUGGAUUGGGCAGCUGCGAGUUCAUGCCCUGGACCAAGAGGCAGCAUAAUACAGGCCUGGCUGCAAGUUCCACAUGAAUGCCUGCAAGCUCUGAUUUCUGUGGCCUUGGCCGUGAUGCCGUUCACCUGCAAGCCAGCAUUCACAUGGCUCUUGCUUUCUGCUUCCUUCUGUUUUAUGGCUGGGAUCCUCCUCCUCUCUUCCCACAGACCUCCGAUCCUAUGUUUGCUAAGGAACUUUCCACGCUGCGCUCGGCUCACUUGGUAGCAAGGAUUUAAAUUCAUCCAAGACUGCUCAGAAAAUGCCCUGUCCACUAUCCUUGAGUGGGGAAAAGCUCAGUAAAGGUAUGCUGGCCAGGAGCAGAGGCUUCCAGAACAGACCCCCUCCAUCUCCAGGGGCUGUGACUACUUCUUCACAGGCUCAGAAAGACUCUGGGCUCAUGGAAGGCAACUCAACUCUGAAACAACUGUCCAAUCCUCGCAGCGGGUAUCAUGGGGGCUUUAUCUCCCCGCCCCAAUCAGAACCCUGUGCUGCCAUAUGGAAAGCUGAGGUUCAUCUACUAGGGGAUGAGGGAACACGUGAGGGAAGUCCACACGUCCCAGCUGAGACAGCCCUAGAGCAGCCUAGAACAAAUGGAUCCCCAGACACGAGAGCCACCCAAGAUUACAGGAGCCACACCACUGAGACCAGGGAUCCUCUAGCUGACCCAAAGACCUGGAAAAAAGAAAAAAGAGACAGACAGACUUGAGAGUUUAGCAAAAGGAACUCAUCCAGCUUUGGGGCUGAGAGCCACGUCUUGAACAUUUCAUCCAAGGUAUUAAUUCUGUGUCUGCAUCUGUUGAGCUGAUCUGGAAUGACCCGCAGCAAGGCUCUGCAGAAAAGCUUCUGAAAUCAGAUGAGCCGGCUGGUCGGCAUCCCUGCU